UACAAACCCGCGCUUCAUUUUACAAAACAGUAGCUCCAGAGCAGCAUGUAAUUAAACUGGCGAAGGCUUCACCUCCCUGGAAUAACCUGAGCCCAACAGGACCCUGCUAACACCACUGUUCACCAAAUAAAGCGUCUGUGGUCCCAAGCCUAGAGCACCACUGAGGACCCCCUUGCAGCCCAGUUUCCAGGCUGCUGAGGUGCCCCACUGGCCACUGUCCUGGGGUCCAACCUUCAGGCUGGCAGCUGCAUCAGCAUCAUCUGUGACCCUCCUCGAAACACACACCUGGAUUCAGAGAAACACAAUAGGGACAGGGAUGUUGUAUUAUUUAUAACAAGUAGGGCGGGUUGAUUCUAGCACUGCCUCCUGGAGGCACUGGGGAGUCAGGUGCAGGGCACAACUAGACAAGGUGACUGGGCUGCAAGGUAGAGAGUAGAAAGCCGAGCUAACAAAUGGUGCAACUCAGUGAGAAGAUCUACAUGCUCUCCUAAAGGACUGCAUGCUGCGAGACAAUCUUGGGGGCAACGUAGCAAUCAGAUUAUUCAGGAGCAGCUGCAGAAAGCCAGGCUACAAGGCACUAGCUAAUUUCCAUGGGUGACUCUCAAGCUUCAAGACACAAGAAUCACCCAGGGCUAUGCUCAAGGCCAGCCUCUGCCAUAAGGCAUGUUUCCUGCUCUACCUGGAAGGACCAAGCAGAUUCCCUUCUCUGGGGUCCAGCGAUUGAAGAACCUACCACAGAGCUGGGCUGGAAAUUAGGGAUAAGAUUUUAGCUCUUACUCUUCUGCUGCUGAGAACUUGGCCCCGGCCGGCUUCGUAUCUGCACGUAUUUCUGAACUAUUGCAGAUACUCACACAGAACUCCUCCACUGGCUCUUGUUCAGGUCCCUCUACAGCUCUGAGUUAUUUCUGAAAAUCUCUUUUCCAAACAGAUCCCAUAGAGCCUGCCACAUGUUCCCUCUCCCUGGAUCAGGCUGGUCCAGGAAGAAUUGGGGAAUACAGAUGGGCAGACCCCCUGCUUGGGGGAGAUGCAAUUACAAACAGCAGGCCUGAGACUCUGCUUUCAAGUGCCAGAUGGCGGAUUGGAGGCGCCACCCCAGAAGUCUGCUCUGUGCCCACUCCAGACAGAUGUUUAGAUUCUGCAGGGACUCACAGGUCGUUGCCUCCAUUCUUUCCCCAUCCCAUGACGGCACUCAAUGCUUCCCAAGUGUAAACCAUCCAGGAUCAUGCAGGGCAAGCACUGAACAAAACCAGAAGACAGCAUUUAAAGUUCUUACAAACAAUUUGUUACUCUCCUAAUAAAUUGUUUUGCCAAAUAUUCUAUACACUUUCCAGUAUUGGCCUUGAAUUUUUUGCAAUGCUUGACUUUAUAUUAUUAUACUUAUCUGUGUUAUUUUAGUUUUGCUUUUACUGAAAUCUGUAUCAAAAUGUUGAAAUACAAAUUAUUCUCUAUAUCAAAAUAAUUAAUUUGUCUUUUAAAAUUGCUUUCGUUUCAUAUUGACUAUUUUGUU
rnacentral:lncRNA from 1 species